rnacentral:rRNA from 1 species
GGUGAGUAAUGUCUGGGAAACUGCCUGAUGGAGGGGGGAUAACUACUGGAAACGGUAGCUAAUACCGCAUAACGUCGCAAGACCAAAGAGGGGGACCUUCGGGCCUCUUGCCAUCAGAUGUGCCCAGAUGGGAUUAGCUAGUAGGUGGGGUAACGGCUCACCUAGGCGACGAUCCCUAGCUUGUCUGAGAGGAUGACCAGCCACACUGGAACUGAGACACGGUCCAG